rnacentral:rRNA from 1 species
GACGAACGCUGGCGGCGUGCUUAAUACAUGCAAGUCGAGCGAGCGGAACCAACAGAUUUACUUCGGUAAUGACGUUGGGAAAGCGAGCGGCGGAUGGGUGAGUAACACGUGGGGAACCUGCCCCUAAGUCUGGGAUACCAUUUGGAAACAGGUGCUAAUACCGGAUAAUAAAGCAGAUCGCAUGAUCAGCUCUUGAAAGGCGGCGUAAGCUGUCGCUAAGGGAUGGCCCCGCGGUGCAUUAGCUAGUUGGUAAGGUAACGGCUUACCAAGGCGACGAUGCAUAGCCGAGUUGAGAGACUGAUCGGCCACAUUGGGACUGAGACACGGCCCAAACUCCUACGGGAGGCAGCAGUAGGGAAUCUUCCACAAUGGACGCAAGUCUGAUGGAGCAACGCCGCGUGAGUGAAGAAGGUUUUCGGAUCGUAAAGCUCUGUUGUUGGUGAAGAAGGAUAG